AUAUCAAUAAGCGGAGGAAAAGAAACUAACUAGGAUUCCCCUAGUAACGGCGAGUGAAGCGGGAAGAGCUCAAGCUUAAAAUCUCUGUGCAAGUUUUGCAUGGCGAAUUGUAGUCUAUAGAGGCGUUAUCAGUGUAGUUGCUUGGGAUUGCAGCCUAAAGUGCGUGGUAAAUCUCACGUAACGCUAAAUAUAGACGAGAGACCGAUAGCGCACAAGUA
rnacentral:rRNA from 1 species